GACUCUCGGCAACGGAUAUCUCGGCUCAUGCAUCGAUGAAGAACGUAGCAAAAUGCGAUACUUGGUGUGAAUUGCAGAAUCCCGUGAACCAUCGAGUUUUUGAACGCAAGUUGCGCCCGAAGCCUUUUGGCCGAGGGCACGUCUGUCUGGGCGUCACAC
rnacentral:rRNA from 1 species